GAGGCUGAGGCAGGAGGAUCUUUUGAGGCCAGCAGUUCAAGACGCAGUGCACUAUGAUCAUACCUGUGAACAGCCACUGCACUCCAGCCUGGGCAACAUAG